rnacentral:rRNA from 1 species
UAAAGUAAGAAAGAGCGUAUGGCGGAUGCCUAGGCACAGAGAGGCGAAGAAGGACGCAGCAAACAGCGAAAUGCGACGGUUAGCAGUAAGCAUGCAACGAUCCGUCGAUGUCCGAAUGGGGGAACCCACCUGGAGUAGAGACCAGGUAUCCUGAAGUGAAUAAAUAGCUUCAGAGAGGCGAGACUCAGGGAACUGAAACAUCUAAGUACCUGAAGGAAGAGAAAAUAAACGAAUGAUUCCCUAAGUAGCGGCGAGCGAAAGGGGAAGAGCCCAAACCGAUCUUAGGAUCGGGGUUGUAGGACUGUCGGCAAAGAGCAAGAAAUCAUUAUAGGCGAACGGAAUGGGAAGUCCGGCGAAACAGGGUGACAGCCCCGUAGCCGAAAUAGUGAAGAAGCACGAGACAGCACCUGAGUACGGCGGGACACGAGGAAUCCUGUCGGAAUCCACCAGGACCAUCUGGUAAGGCUAAAUACUCCUCUGUGACCGAUAGUGAACCAGUACCGUGAGGGAAAGGUGAAAAGAACCCCGGGAGGGGAGUGAAAUAGAACCUGAAACCAUAUGCUUACAAGAAGUUAGAGCCCGUUAAAGGGUUAUAGCGUGCCUUUUGUAGAAUGAACCGGCGAGUUACGAUAUGGAGCGAGGUUAAGCAGGAUAUGCGGAGCCGAAGCGAAAGCGAGUCUUAAUAGGGCGAAAGUUGCAUGUCGUAGACCCGAAACCGAGUGAUCUAGCCAUGACCAGGUUGAAGUUGGGGUAAAACCCGAUGGAGGACCGAACCGACCCCCGUUGAAACGUUGGCGGAUGAGUUGUGGCUAGGGGUGAAAUUCCAAUCGAACUCGGAGAUAGCUGGUUCUCCCCGAAAUAGCUUUAGGGCUAGCGUCGAGGUAAAGUCGUGUGAAGGUAGAGCACUGAAUAUGUGAUGGCCCCAUCUCGGGGUACUGAACAUAAUCAAACUCCGAAUGUCACAAAGAUAUACUCGGCAGUCAGACAGUGGGUGAUAAGGUCCAUUGUCAAAAGGGAAACAGCCCAGACCAUCAGCUAAGGUCCCAAAAUAUAUACUAAGUGGAAAAGGAUGUGGAGAUGUCCAGACAACUAGGAGGUUGGCUCAGAAGCAGCCAUCCUUUAAAGAGUGCGUAACAGCUCACUAGUCGAAUGACUCUGCGCCGAUAAUUUACCGGGGCUAAGUAUAUUACCGAAGCUAUGGAUUUACGCGUAAGCGUGAGUGGUAGGGGAGCGUUCUAUGUGCGGAGAAGCGGUACCGUAAGGAGCCGUGGAGCGCAUAGAAGAGAGAAUGCCGGUGUGAGUAGCGAAACGUGGGUGAGAAUCCCACGCACCGAAAACCCAAGGUUUCCAGAGGAAGGUUCGUCCGCUCUGGGUAAGUCGGGACCUAAGGCGAGGCCGAGAGGCGUAGUCGAUGGACAACAGGUAGAGAUUCCUGUACUUACGGUAUGAAUGAUGGAGUGACGGAGAAGGCUAGCGGAUCCUGCUGAUGGAAAUGCAGGUGCAAGCGAGGUAGCCGACAGCCAGGCAAAUCCGGCUGUCGAAAGGCAAAGGCGUGAGGCGUAUGGAAAGCUGCGGCAAGUACAGAAGUCCGUGAAGCCAGCUUCCAAGAAAAGCUUCUAGUGAUAAUCAUACAGUAACCCGUACCGAAAAUGGACACACAUGGGUGAGGAGAGAAUCCUAAGGUGAGCGAGAGAACUAUAGCUAAGGAACUCUGCAAAAUGACUCCGUAACUUAGGGAUAAGGAGUGCUCAUAGAGAUAUGAGCCGCAGUGAAACGGCCCAAGCGACUGUUUACCAAAAACACAGCUCUAUGCUAAGUCGAAAGACGACGUAUAUGGGGUGACGCCUGCCCGGUGCUGGAAGGUUAAGAGGAUGUGUCAGCGCAAGCGAAGCAUUGAAUUGAAGCCCCAGUAAACGGCGGCCGUAACUAUAACGGUCCUAAGGUAGCGAAAUUCCUUGUCAGGUAAGUUCUGACCCG